rnacentral:rRNA from 1 species
AGCAGCCGCGGUAAUUCCAGCUCCAAUAGCGUAUAUUAAAGUUGUUGCAGUUAAAAAGCUCGUAGUUGAAUUUCGGGGUCAGUAAGUUGGUCGUGCCACUGGUAUGUACUGGCUUUACUGAUUCCUCCUUCUUGUAGAACCGUAAUGCCAUUAAGUUUGUGUUGCGGGGAAACAGGACUGUUACUUUGAAAAAUUAGAGUGUUUAAAGCAAGCUAACGCUUGAAUACAUUAGCAUGGAAUAAUGAAAUAGGACGAUCGAUCCUAUUUUGUUGGUUUCUAGGAUUGACGUAAUGAUUAAUAGGGAUAGUUGGGGGCAUUAGUAUUCAAUUGUCAGAGGUGAAAUUCUUGGAUUUAUUGAAGACUAACUACUGCGAAAGCAUUUGCCAAGGAUGUUUUCUAUUAAUCAAGAACGAAAGUUAGGGGAGUCGAAGACGAUCAGAUACCGUCGUAGUCUUAACCAUAAACUAUGCCGACUAGGGAUCGGAUGAUGUUAAUUUUAUAAUGACUCAUUCGGCGCCUU